GUGGCGAACGGGUGAGUAACACGUGAGUAACCUGCCCUUGACUCUGGGAUAAGCGUUGGAAACGACGUCUAAUACCGGAUACGACCUUCGAAGGCAUCUUCUGAAGGUGGAAAGAAUUUUGGUCAAGGAUGGACUCGCGGCCUAUCAGCUAGUUGGUGAGGUAACGGCCCACCAAGGCGACGACGGGUAGCCGGCCUGAGAGGGUGACCGGCCACACUGGGACUGAGACACGGCCCAGACUCCUACGGGAGGCAGCAGUGGGGAAUAUUGCACAAUGGGCGAAAGCCUGAUGCAGCAACGCCGCGUGAGGGACGACGGCCUUCGGGUUGUAAACCUCUUUUAGUAGGGAAGAAGCGAAAGUGACGGUACCUGCAGAAAAAGCACCGGCUAACUACGUGCCAGCAGCCGCGGUAAUACGUAGGGUGCAAGCGUUAUCCGGAAUUAUUGGGCGUAAAGAGCUCGUAGGCGGUUUGUCGCGUCUGCUGUGAAAACUGGAGGCUCAACCUCCAGCCUGCAGUGGGUACGGGCAGACUAGAGUGCGGUAGGGGAGAUUGGAAUUCCUGGUGUAGCGGUGGAAUGCGCAGAUAUCAGGAGGAACACCGAUGGCGAAGGCAGAUCUCUGGGCCGUAACUGACGCUGAGGAGCGAAAGCAUGGGGAGCGAACAGGAUUAGAUACCCUGGUAGUCCAUGCCGUAAACGUUGGGAACUAGAUGUAGGGGCCAUUCCACGGUUUCUGUGUCGCAGCUAACGCAUUAAGUUCCCCGCCUGGGGAGUACGGCCGCAAGGCUAAAACUCAAGGAAUUGANGGGGGCCCGCACAAGCGGCGGANCAUGCGGAUUAAUUCGAUGCAACGCGA
rnacentral:rRNA from 1 species